rnacentral:lncRNA from 1 species
GGCUGGGGCUGCAAGGCAGGGUCUUCCCUUGGAGAAGGGACCUGACUCUAUUAUUAAGAGAACGAAAGAGGCACUUGCCCUACAGUGUGUAGAGCAUGGCCUCUCUCCUGGAAUGGCAUCUUAUACAUAUAACCCAUUGGAGCCAAGAGUUUUACCUUUACAUGCAACUACAUUUUCAGAGAUUGAUUUGACUUCCUCUUCAGAUGUUUUUUCUAUUCAAGAGGUAAAACAUAGGGAUAUUUGGACUCUCAGAACAGCGGUCUGGAUUUUCCUCUUUGACCUUUGCUUACAUGGGGUUCCUCAGAAAGCAGAGUCUCAGAUAAAAUAUAUAUGCUAUAUCUUUUGAAGAACGCAGUUCCAGGGAAGCAGGAGAAAAGAAAAGGAGAAUGAGUCAGACAAGCAAGGAAAGCGACCGGAAUUGUGCCCCAAAGAGCUGGCGGCUGCGUGGUAGGACAUGCAUACUGUGUUUAAGCUCCCAUUUCACCUUUCAUUUUCUGAAAGACCUGUGAACUGCCGCAUCUCACAGGGGAAGAACCCACAGAACAUUAACAUCUCCAUUUCCAGGCUGCAGAGGUACCAAGCCAGUGGAUCCUCCCGCCCCCAUGUCUCUCACAAAGCUGCUUGUAGCCCAGUGGGGACCAGCAGGCGUCCAAGGACCCUGGGGAGCCGUGGUGGCAGCUAGGCUGUGUCUCCUGCAGGCCUCUCUGAAACUGCCUGGCUGGCUCAUGCCCUCUCAUUCUGUCCAGUCAUUGACGGUGGCUACACUGCAUUGAUCUGGGAACACAAUGUCAUUUCUUCCCUGACGGCGAAGAGACAAAUCCAGCAAGCCACAGAGCCCCUGUCACGGAGUGGAAAGCGAUGGUCUCUGAAGAGAAUCAACAAGGGGAGUUAAAAAAAGCAGAACCAGGCUGGGCACGGUAGCUCACACCUGUAAUCCCAGCACUUUGAGAGGUCGAGGUGGGCGGAUCUCCUGUGCUCCAAAGUUUGGGACCAGACUGGGCAACACAGGGAGACCCCAUCUCUACUAAAAAUAAUAAAAAAUACAUUCGUGGGACAUAGUGCAUGCCUGUGGUCCCAGCUACUCAGGAGCCUGAGAUGGGAGGAUCGCUUGAGCCCAGGAGGUCGGGGCUUCAGUGAGCCAUGAUCAUGCCACUGCACUCCAGCCUGGGCCAC